AGAGUUUGAUCCUGGCUCAGGAUGAACGCUGGCGGCGUGCUUAACACAUGCAAGUCGAACGAUGAUCCGGUGCUUGCGCCGGGGAUUAGUGGCGAACGGGUGAGUAACACGUGAGUAACCUGCCCUUGACUCUGGGAUAAGCCUGGGAAACUGGGUCUAAUACCGGAUAUGACUCCUCAUCGCAUGGUGGGGGGUGGAAAGCUUUUUGUGGUUUUGGAUGGACUCGCGGCCUAUCAGCUUGUUGGUGGGGUAAUGGCCUACCAAGGCGACGACGGGUAGCCGGCCUGAGAGGGUGACCGGCCACACUGGGACUGAGACACGGCCCAGACUCCUACGGGAGGCAGCAGUGGGGAAUAUUGCACAAUGGGCGAAAGCCUGAUGCAGCGACGCCGCGUGAGGGAUGACGGCCUUCGGGUUGUAAACCUCUUUCAGUAGGGAAGAAGCCCUCUUUGGGGGUGACGGUACUUGCAGAAGAAGCGCCGGCUAACUACGUGCCAGCAGCCGCGGUAAUACGUAGGGCGCAAGCGUUAUCCGGAAUUAUUGGGCGUAAAGAGCUCGUAGGCGGUUUGUCGCGUCUGCUGUGAAAGACCGGGGCUCAACUCCGGUUCUGCAGUGGGUACGGGCAGACUAGAGUGCAGUAGGGGAGACUGGAAUUCCUGGUGUAGCGGUGAAAUGCGCAGAUAU
rnacentral:rRNA from 1 species